UUUCCAUAUUCUGAUCACAGUUUCUUUUCCCCUCACCCCAACUCUUCCCAGAUCCUCCCCACUUCCCCACCCACACAAAACUACUCCGUUUAUUCUCUUUCUCAUUAGAAUACAAAAUCUAGUAAUAAUAUUAUAGCUAAAAUAAAAACAAACAAACCACAAUAGGACAAAAACAAAGAAGCAGAAGAAAAAGAGCCAGAAAAAAAGCUCAAGAAACAUAUAUAGACAGACACACCCACUCAGACACAGAAAUCCUAUAAAAUUAUAAAACGAAAACAAAAGACCUGGAAGGUAAAAAAGAAGGGGGAAGCACCCUGACAAAUAUUGUGAGACAACCCCCCUAAAAUGAGGUUAUUUUGUGUUAGCCAUCUACUGCUUGGAUGUGGGGCCUGGCCUGAACAGUGGUUGGUGGGAGGUGGGGAGCCUUUGUUUGUCUGAACAGAAGAACCUCCUACACCAAACAGUGGUUCGUAUAGAGAGUUAGACCCCAUUGGAGAAAACUAAUUAUUUAUUUGUGAUUAUCAAUUCGAUGGGAGUUAGCUUCUGGGUUGGGGAGGUUUGGGGGGGAUCUUGUGUCCUUCUUCUCUCGGUGCUGGGAGCUCAUCUGGUCCAGACCUGUGCCUCCGUUCCCUCUGGCUCUUUCUCUCUUUUCACCUCCUUUUCUGCAGAGUUCUGUGAGGGGAGGGAUUAGAUAGAGACAUCCCAUUUAGGACUGAGUCUUCAAGAUCUCUCACUUUCUACACAUUGUCCAGCAAUGGAGGAAGUUCCUACAGAUUUUCUGAUCCACAGGAUCUUCUAAAACCUGGCAGACCCUGUGCUAAACAGCAGAAGACAGGUACAGGCCUGAUGUCCUUGCCCUCAAUGACCAUGGAGCACACUGAGGAGUGGCACUGUAGCCAAUGGAGAAGCCGAAUUAAAGGAUCCACCUUAAACAGUUUCAAGAGACACCAGGCAGUUCCACACCACGAAUCCUGGACAGGAGUAAAACAACCAUCUACCCCCAGGAUGUGACCAGCACCCAGCUCUCUCAGGCUCCCCAAGAAAGACUUCAACGCCCACGAGUAAGCAGAAAGCAGUCUUGAGAAUCCGCCGUCUCAAUUCCUUCAACCUGCUAUGCCUAACUCCUCACCUUUUUAUUAUAAGAUGGAAAUGCUGUAAUCUGCUGGCCUGGCCGGUCACCUGGGUACCCUGUCCCAUUGGGGGAAUAAGCUCCACCCAUUCCCAACCUCCAUCCUUCCUGACAGAGGAGUCAAGUGGAUCUCUCCCCUCGAGCCCCCCCCCAUCCCUCUUCUGAAGAGGUAACUACUGCCUUUCUUCCUUCUCCCCUUCCUCUUCUCUCUUCUCUCUCCCCUCACUUUCCUCUUUCUCUGUCCCCCUUUCUCUCUCUCCCCUUCUCCCCCCCCCUCCAUAACUCCUUACUCUUACACCAUUCCCAGUACCCACUAAGUAAACUCCACACCCAAGCUCUCUCUGCAUGGAGUAUCUAUCUGUCUGUCUCCCACCCACCAAGGGGACCCGCCGCAGCCGUGGGUCACCUGCCACUGCCUCCAAGGCCUCAGGUGACCUGCGCCACCCCUUGUGGGACUGGUAUCUCACCUGUUCUUUAUAAAUAAUUUCACUGUGACCUUCUGCCCUCAAGGUGGUGGACUUAAAGGCAUGUGCCACUAGGUGAGGCUCCAGGUUUGAUCUCCCAGCACCAGCCCCCCCAAAAUUCCAUGUAAUAUGUCUAUCUAAAGUUAUGAUCAAAAGCUUAUAUAUAUAUUCAAAGUAUCUAAAAUUUGAAUGCUUGUAUAAAAUUAAAUCUAUUUUCACUUAUUUACAAAAGUUCUCUUUCUUCAUACUGGAGAGACGGCUCAGAUACUCAGAGCGUAUACUGCUUUUGCAGAGGACCUGAGUUUAGUUACCAGCGUCCUCCUCACAGGGCUUCUACCCACCAGCUCCAGGGUAUCCAGCACCCUCCUCUGGUCGCCAAGGCACCUGUAACCAUGAGCACAAACUCAUAUAUUUACAUAAUUGAAAUAAAAAGUCAAGUUCUCUUUCUCUUAAGAAGUCAAAUACAGACGAUAGUGAUAAAAAUUUGAAUAAAAUUAUUUAAGUAAACCUAAA